GUCUGAGCCCUGCGACAGCCUGGACAGCAACUCAGGAUGGCAUCAGGCAGGGCACGCUGCACCCGAAAACUCCGGAACUGGGUGGUGGAGCAAGUGGAGAGUGGGCAGUUUCCCGGAGUGUGCUGGGAUGAUACAGCUAAGACCAUGUUCCGGAUUCCCUGGAAACAUGCAGGCAAGCAGGACUUCCGGGAGGACCAGGAUGCUGCCUUCUUCAAGGUGAAAGGGCCUGGAAACCACUGUUCCUCUGUGUGUGGGAUGGUGUAUACACACUGGUACACUCAUCCUCGAGCACUUGCGUCUGCCUGGGUUUCAGAUAAGGGACAGAUUGGAGAGGAAAACUAGCUGCAUCAUUUGCAGAGUCCAGUACAAAAUGAAAAUGUGGAGGCCUUGUUCAAAAAUUUUAGGGAUAUUGGCCAGGCACGGUGGCUCACGCCUGUAAUCCCAGCACUUCGGGAGGCCAAGGUGGGUGGAUCACGAGGUCAAGAGAUCAAGACCAGCCUGGCCAACAUGGUGAAACCCUGUCUCUACUAAAAAUACAAAACUUAGCUGGGCCUAGCGGUGCAUGCCUGUAGUCCCAGCUACUCGGGAGACUGAGGCAGGAGAAUCGC
rnacentral:lncRNA from 1 species